rnacentral:sRNA from 1 species
GCCAGGCAUAGUGGUGCAUGCCUAUAAUCCCAGCAGCUUGGGAGGCUGAGGCAGGAGGAUUGCGAGUUCAAAGCCAGCCUCAGCAAUGACAAGGUACUAAGCAACUCAGUGAGACCCUGUUUCUA